rnacentral:tRNA from 1 species
GGGGCUGUAGCUCAGAGGCAGAGUACUUGCCUAGCAUGCAUGAGGCACUGGGUUCAAUCCUCAGCACCACUU